rnacentral:rRNA from 2 species
AGAGUUUGAUCAUGGCUCAGAUUGAACGCUGGCGGCAGGCCUAACACAUGCAAGUCGAGCGGUAGCACAGAGAGCUUGCUCUCGGGUGACGAGCGGCGGACGGGUGAGUAAUGUCUGGGAAACUGCCUGAUGGAGGGGGAUAACUACUGGAAACGGUAGCUAAUACCGCAUAACGUCGCAAGACCAAAGUGGGGGACCUUCGGGCCUCAUGCCAUCAGAUGUGCCCAGAUGGGAUUAGCUAGUAGGUGGGGUAACGGCUCACCUAGGCGACGAUCCCUAGCUGGUCUGAGAGGAUGACCAGCCACACUGGAACUGAGACACGGUCCAGACUCCUACGGGAGGCAGCAGUGGGGAAUAUUGCACAAUGGGCGCAAGCCUGAUGCAGCCAUGCCGCGUGUGUGAAGAAGGCCUUCGGGUUGUAAAGCACUUUCAGCGGGGAGGAAGGCGAUAAGGUUAAUAACCUUAGCGAUUGACGUUACCCGCAGAAGAAGCACCGGCUAACUCCGUGCCAGCAGCCGCGGUAAUACGGAGGGUGCAAGCGUUAAUCGGAAUUACUGGGCGUAAAGCGCACGCAGGCGGUCUGUCAAGUCGGAUGUGAAAUCCCCGGGCUCAACCUGGGAACUGCAUUCGAAACUGGCAGGCUAGAGUCUUGUAGAGGGGGGUAGAAUUCCAGGUGUAGCGGUGAAAUGCGUAGAGAUCUGGAGGAAUACCGGUGGCGAAGGCGGCCCCCUGGACAAAGACUGACGCUCAGGUGCGAAAGCGUGGGGAGCAAACAGGAUUAGAUACCCUGGUAGUCCACGCCGUAAACGAUGUCGAUUUGGAGGUUGUGCCCUUGAGGCGUGGCUUCCGGAGCUAACGCGUUAAAUCGACCGCCUGGGGAGUACGGCCGCAAGGUUAAAACUCAAAUGAAUUGACGGGGGCCCGCACAAGCGGUGGAGCAUGUGGUUUAAUUCGAUGCAACGCGAAGAACCUUACCUGGUCUUGACAUCCACAGAACUUUCCAGAGAUGGAUUGGUGCCUUCGGGAACUGUGAGACAGGUGCUGCAUGGCUGUCGUCAGCUCGUGUUGUGAAAUGUUGGGUUAAGUCCCGCAACGAGCGCAACCCUUAUCCUUUGUUGCCAGCGGUUAGGCCGGGAACUCAAAGGAGACUGCCAGUGAUAAACUGGAGGAAGGUGGGGAUGACGUCAAGUCAUCAUGGCCCUUACGACCAGGGCUACACACGUGCUACAAUGGCAUAUACAAAGAGAAGCGACCUCGCGAGAGCAAGCGGACCUCAUAAAGUAUGUCGUAGUCCGGAUUGGAGUCUGCAACUCGACUCCAUGAAGUCGGAAUCGCUAGUAAUCGUAGAUCAGAAUGCUACGGUGAAUACGUUCCCGGGCCUUGUACACACCGCCCGUCACACCAUGGGAGUGGGUUGCAAAAGAAGUAGGUAGCUUAACCUUCGGGAGGGCGCUUACCACUUUGUGAUUCAUGACUGGGGUGAAGUCGUAACAAGGUAACCGUAGGGGAACCUGCGGUUGGAUCACCU